rnacentral:rRNA from 1 species
GAUGAACGCUGGCGGCGUGCCUAAUACAUGCAAGUCGAGCGAACGGACGAUAAUCUUGCUUCUCUGAUGUUUGCGGCGGACGGGUGAGUAACACGUGUAUAACCCACCUAUAAGACUGGGAUAACUUCGGGAAACCGGAGCUAAUACCGUAUAAUAUUUUGAACCGCAUGGGUCAAAGGUGAAAGACGGUCGUGCUGUCACUUAUAGAUGGAUCCGCGCUGGAUUGGCUAGUUGGUAAGGUAACAGCUUACCAAGGCAACGAGGCAUAGCCGAGGGGAGAGGGUGAUCGGCGACACUGGAGGUUGGCCACGCUCCUGGGUCCUACGAGAGGGAGCAGAAGGGAAUGUUCCGCAAUGGUGGAAAGCCUGACGGAACAAGCCCGAGUGAGUGAUGAAGGCCUUCGGAUCGUAAAACUCUGUUAUUAGGGAAAAACCUAUGUCUACGGAAACGUACAGAUCUUGACGGUACCUGAUCAGAAAGCAACGGCUAACUACGUG